GUGGUUCACUUCUGUGUCACAUACACUGAAAUUGGAAUGAUACACAGAAGAUUAUCACAGCCCUUGCACAAAGAUGACACAAAAAUUUGUGAAGGGUUUCAUAAGGAA
ensembl:snRNA U6 U6 spliceosomal RNA